GACGAACGCUGGCGGCGUGCCUAAUACAUGCAAGUAGAACGCUGAAGAGAGGAGCUUGCUCUUCUUGGAUGAGUUGCGAACGGGUGAGUAACGCGUAGGUAACCUGCCUUGUAGCGGGGGAUAACUAUUGGAAACGAUAGCUAAUACCGCAUAAUAAUGGAUGACACAUGUCAUUUAUUUGAAUGGGGCAAUUGCUCCACUACAAGACGGACCUGCGUUGUAUUAGCUAGUAGGUGAGGUAAUGGCUCACCUAGGCGACGAUACAUAGCCGACCUGAGAGGGGGAGAUGCCACACUGGGACUGAGAGACGGGCCAGACUCCUACGGGAGGCAGCAGUAGGGAGUAUUCGGGAAUGGGGGCGACCCUGACCGAGCAACACCGCGUGAGUGAAGAAGGUUUUCGGAUCGUAAAGCUCUGUUGUGAGUCAAGAGAGGGUGUGAGAGUGGAAAGUUCACACUGUGACGGUAGCUUACCAGAAAGGGACGGCUAACUACGUG
rnacentral:rRNA from 1 species